rnacentral:rRNA from 1 species
GCCAGAAGUGCAAGUACAGCAAUGUACUCAGCUGACUGGUGCUCAUCAGUCGAGGUCUUGACCAU